rnacentral:rRNA from 1 species
CACUAGCGUAUAUUAAAGUUGUUGCAGUUAAAAAGCUCGUAGUUGGAUUUGUGGCGUACGGUGUGUUCCGGGCACUUGUUGUCUGAGUAACCUGCUGUUGCCAUCCUUGGGUGGAACCUGUGUGGCAUUAGGUUGUCGUGCAGGGGAUGCCCAUCAUUUACUGUGAAAAAAUUAGAGUGUUCAAAGCAGGCUUAUGCCGUUGAAUAUAUUAGCAUGGAAUAAUGAGAUAGGACUUUUUUGCUAUUUUGUUGGUUUGCGCAAAGAGGUAAUGAUUAAUAGGGACAGUUGGGGGUAUUCGUAUUCCAUUGUCAGAGGUGAAAUUCUUGGAUUUUUGGAAGACGAACUACUGCGAAAGCAUUUACCAAGGAUGUUUUCAUUAA